AGCGAACGCUGGCGGCAGGCUUAACACAUGCAAGUCGAGCGCCCCGCAAGGGGAGCGGCAGACGGGAGAGUAACACGUGGGAACGUACCUUUCAGUACGGAACAACCAAGGGAAACUUUGGCUAAUACCGUAUACGCCCGUAAGGGGAAAGAUUUAUCGCUGAAAGAUCGGCCCGCGUCUGAUUAGCUAGUUGGUGGGGUAAUGGCCCACCAAGGCGACGAUCAGUAGCUGGUCUGAGAGGAUGAUCAGCCUCACUGGGACUGAGACACGGCCCAGACUCCUACGGGAGGCAGCAGUGGGGAAUAUUGGACAAUGGGGGAAACCCUGAUCCAGCCAUGCCGCGUGAGUGAUGAAGGCCUUAGGGUUGUAAAGCUCUUUCGUCAGGGAAGAUAAUGACGGUACCGGAAGAAGAAGCCCCGGCUAACUUCGUGCCAGCAGCCGCCGUAAUAC
rnacentral:rRNA from 1 species